rnacentral:rRNA from 1 species
GAUUCUGGCUCAGGAUGAACGCUGGCGGCGUGCCUAACACAUGCAAGUCGAACGGAAACCAGACGCUUCGGAGACUUCGGUCAAUGUUGUUGGUUUAGUGGCGGACGGGUGAGUAACGCGUGGAUAACCUGCCAUAUACAGGGGGAUAACAGUUAGAAAUGACUGCUAAUACCGCAUAAGCGCACAGUCUCGCAUGGGACAGUGUGAAAAACUCCGGUGGUAUAUGAUGGAUCCGCGUCUGAUUAGCCAGUUGGCGGGGUAACGGCCCACCAAAGCGACGAUCAGUAGCCGGCCUGAGAGGGUGAACGGCCACAUUGGGACUGAGACACGGCCCAAACUCCUACGGGAGGCAGCAGUGGGGGAUAUUGGCACAAUGGGGGAAACCCUGAUGCAGCGAACCGCCGCGUGAGUGAAGAAGUAUUUCGGUAUGUAAAGCUCUAUCAGCAGGGAAGAUAAUGACGGUACCUGACUAAGAAGCACCGGCUAAAUACGUGCCAGCCGCUGC